UUAGUUGAAACCAAAAAGAGGUAUAUUACUGUUAAUGAUAUAAGUGAAUUAUAACAUUCCAACUAAG
rnacentral:tRNA from 1 species